rnacentral:lncRNA from 1 species
UUAGAUUUUUAUUGUUGGUGGAGCUCACAGUGUUAUUGUAUUAAAAAGAGCCAUCUGUGCCAGAAACAAUGGCUUCAUAUUAUCUCUGAAUACCCAGUGAAAAAAAUAUAUAAAGCUUUCUCCUUUCUCAUUAUGUUUGGUGGGGGGUUUUUGUAGACUUGCUAUAAGUGACUUUUGUUGUUCUUGAUGCGUUCUUCUUUUUCAAUCGGCCCCUUUUCAGAUGGUGUGGAGCUGUAGAGGGACUGAGGCGGGUGAAAGCAGCCGCGCAGCGAGCACUCUGAGCCGGCACACGGAGCGAGUGGACGCUGAUGGAUCACGAGAGCGGCCGCCGGAGGAGAGCGCGGCCGGAAAGAGCGCCUGCUCGCUGGGCGCGCAUGUAAGGAUCCGCCCGGGAGGCAGACGGAGCUCUGGAUGUGUCAGUCAAACUGAGUUGGAAACGAGGACUGUGAGCGACACCCACAGCGUUUAAGUUUCUUGCCUCCUUGGGGAGAUAAAACGGCCCAAAUGAAAUGAAGACGCACGUCAAGGUAGUCACUUAACUUUAUUUCUUACUAGCUAUUUUUAUAUGAGUGCAAGAAUUUAGAACG